rnacentral:rRNA from 1 species
UACGUAGGGUGCAAGCGUUAAUCGGAAUUACUGGGCGUAAAGCGUGCGCAGGCGGUUUUGUAAGUUUGUCGUGAAAUCCCCGGGCUCAACCUGGGAAUUGCGAUGAAGACUGCAAGGCUAGAAUCUGGCAGAGGGGGGUAGAAUUCCACGUGUAGCAGUGAAAUGCGUAGAGAUGUGGAGGAACACCGAUGGCGAAGGCAGCCCCCUGGGUCAAGAAUGACGCUCAUGCACGAAAGCGUGGGGAGCAAACAGG